rnacentral:ncRNA from 1 species
CCAAAGGCUCUUUUCAGAGCCAUCCACACCUUCCAGAAAAGAGCUG